UACAGAGGUCCCAAGCGUUGUUCGGAUUCACUGGGCGUAAAGGGUGCGUAGGCGGUCGGGUAAGUCUGAUGUGAAAUCUCUGAGCCUAACUCGGAAACUGCAUUGGAUACUAUUCGGCUAGAGAGUUGGAGGGGGGACUGGAAUUCUCGGUGUAGCAGUGAAAUGCGUAGAUAUCGAGAGGAACACCAGUGGCGAAGGCGAGUCCCUGGACAACUUCUGACGCUGAGGCACGAAAGCUAGGGGAGCAAACAGG
rnacentral:rRNA from 1 species